rnacentral:lncRNA from 1 species
AGCCAGGGCCGCGGUUCGCCUGCACGUCACGGCUACUCAAACCCAAGCACGUCCCGAAAGCGGUAUUUUCUGCGUCUGGGAGGUUUUUGCAUCCUCAGUUCCCACCGCUGGGGCUGGCGGCGACCAACUAAGUCCCACUUUAUCAUUAAUGAUGACAAUAACUAAGGCUGCCAGGAACAGCACAUCUGCUGAGCUUUAUCAACACCAGAUUCUCUCAUUUUGCCUUCUGGAUCUCCAUGCUUUUUUAUACCAACAAACAAGAGGAAGAAUAUUCUCUACCCACUUCCUUGACUGAAGCCUGCUCUUUUAUGAAGACAUGGCAUCUCUUCCAACCGUGUCAAACAGAUGCAAUUUAUAUGUCUGCUGCUUCCAUACCCUGAUUAAAUGGGUCAGUGGCAGAAUCAGUAUCCUUAGUCUCCCCUUUGGUUUCAAAUAUGUACUCCUUAUUUCAGUUUCAUGCUCACCUUUCUGUAGAGACCAAGGCAUCUGCCUUUGCAGCUUUACCUCUUCCUCCAGGUUAUAGUUUCCAUUCAUGGAAUCUUUUAGCUGCUGGCUGGCAGUUUUCCUGUCUACCUGACUUCCAUUCCUCUUCUCAUGACUUCAGCUCCCAUGCAGAUGUCUUAUCCUGACAUACUAGCUUCUCCAUUCUAUUUCUGUGUGUGUGUGUCUGUGUGUUUCCCUACUAGUUCAUCCACAUUUCCCUAUGGUCUUU